rnacentral:lncRNA from 1 species
UCUGCACCUUUUGACAGCACUGAGUAGCAGUGUCUGCAAGUGCUCGGCCUGCAAGAUGAGCUGCAGUGAAGACCAGGACAGCCGGGGAGGUAGGGAAGCGUCAGGAGUCCUGUUGGGGAUUGAAGCAGCAACCAGCCCUGUCCACUUCAGCCACCGGAGCAGUGACUGGUGCGGGACCUGGCUCCUCGGGCCACUCAGAAUCCUCAGAGUCCAGCAGGAAUCAACUCUCGUGAUCUCCUAA